AUUGAACGCUGGCGGCAGGCCUAACACAUGCAAGUCGAACGAGUGGCGGACGGGUGAGUAAUGUCUGGGAAACUGCCCGAUGGAGGGGGAUAACUACUGGAAACGGUAGCUAAUACAGCAUACCAUCGGAUGAACCCAGAGGGGAUUAGCUUGUAGGUGCGGUAACGGCUCACCUAGGCGACGAUCCCUAGCUGGUCUGAGAGGAUGACCAGCCACCCUGGAACUUAGACACGGUCAAGACUCCUACGGGAGGCAGCAGUGGGGAAUAUUGCACAAUGGGCGCAAGCCUGAUGCAGCCAUGCCGCGUGUAUGAAGAAGGCCUUCGGGUUGUAAAGUACUUUCAGCUGGGAGGCGUUACUCGCAGAAGAAGCACCGGCUAACUCCGUGCCAGCAGCCGCGGUAAUUC
rnacentral:rRNA from 1 species